rnacentral:rRNA from 1 species
CCCUUAGAUGUUCUGGGCGGCCCGCGCACUACAUUGGCACUCUCAAUAAGUUCCUAGAUCUAAAACUUUGGGGUAUUCUAUUAAGUGGUGUCGUGACUGGGAUUAACCCUUGCAAUUAUUGGUUACGAACGAGGAAUUCCUUGUAAUCGCGGUUUAUCAGCCCGCGUUGAAUGCGUCCCUGCCCUUUGUACACACCGCCCGACGCUCCUACCGAUGAAUCGUCCGGUGAAGUUCAUGGAGUGGUGGUUGUUCCAGCUGCUGUCGAAGUGAAAUGGACCUCACGAUUUAGAGGAAGGAGAAGUCGUAACA